UUUACGAGUAGAAGCGGUCAGGGCCUGUGCGCCCGGGACAUUGCUCGGCAA
rnacentral:ncRNA from 1 species